rnacentral:rRNA from 1 species
ACCCUUAGAUGUUCUGGGCAGCACGCGCGCUACAAUGGUCUUCGCAAACGGAUGCAUUCUCGAAGGAGAAUGCCAAUCUUGGAAUCUAUGCCUUGGUCGGGACAGUUGCUUGCAAUUUUUCGACUCGAACCAGGAAUUCCUUGUAAUCGUGAUUCAUCACAUCACGAUGAAUACGUCCCUGCCCUUUGUACACACCGCCCGUCGCUCCUACCGAUCGAAGAGUUAGGUGAAUUGUUUUGAUCGAUAAGAUUUGACUAUGGUCAACUCUCGUUGUGAAAUUCUGUGAAUCUGACUGCUUAGAGGAAGGAAAAGUCGUAACA